rnacentral:rRNA from 1 species
UACGGAGGGGGCUAGCGUUGUUCGGAAUUACUGGGCGUAAAGCGCACGUAGGCGGCUUUGUAAGUUGGAGGUGAAAGCCCAGGGCUUAACCCUGGAAUUGCCUUUAAGACUGCAUCGCUAGAAUCGUGGAGAGGUAAGUGGAAUUCCGAGUGUAGAGGUGAAAUUCGUAGAUAUUCGGAAGAACACCAGUGGCGAAGGCGACUUACUGGACACGUAUUGACGCUGAGGUGCGAAAGCGUGGGGAGCAAACAGG